GGUCUAUAGCUCAGUGGUAGAGCAAGGUAGAGCUUUGCAUGCAGAAGGUCCCAGGUUCAAUCCUUAGCAUCUCCA